rnacentral:rRNA from 1 species
GGUGGCUAAUACCGGAUGAACCGAAAAGUAAAAAGGGAAACCUGCCUUUUGAAGAGCUCGCGUCUGAUUAGCUAGUUGGUGAGGUAAGAGCUCACCAAGGCAGCGAUCAGUAGCUGGUCUGAGAGGAUGACCAGCCACACUGGGACUGAGACACGGCCCAGACUCCUACGGGAGGCAGCAGUGGGGAAUUUUCCGCAAUGGGCGAAAGCCUGACGGAGCAAUACCGCGUGAGGGAAGAAGGCUCUUGGGUCGUAAACCUCUUUUAUCAGGGAAGAAAAAAAUGACGGUACCUGAAGAAUCAGCCUCGGCUAACUCCGUGCCAGCAGCCGCGGUAAUACGGAGGAGGCAAGCGUUAUCCGGAAUUAUUGGGCGUAAAGCGUCCGCAGGUGGCUUAUCAAGUCUGCUGUCAAAGAGUGGGGCUUAACCCCAUUAAGGCAGUGGAAACUGANAAGCUAGAGUGCCGUAGGGGUAGAGGGAAUUCCCGGUGUAGCGGUGAAAUGCGUANAGAUCGGGAAGAACAUCGGUGGCGAAAGCGCUCUACUGGACGGCAACUGACACUCAGGGACGAAAGCUAGGGGAGCGAAAGGGAUUAG